UUGGCAGCUACGCAAGUUGGAGGGAGAUGCCUGUGUGCUUCGCCGUUUAUAUUUUUUCUGCAGUUUUCUUGAAGAUCACUCCGCGACCUACACUCAGCAACGCUGUCGUUCAGCAGCAGCUGAUGCGCUGUCAGCCUCUGAUUUGUCAUUCCCAAUCGCCAUCACUCACCGCUGACAUCGAAUGGACUAAAGCUAGCCACAAAUUCUGAGCUCAAUCGUCAUGAAACGCAAAUACAGAGUUUCUCUCUCUUGGUUUCAUACAAACUUUGAGAAAUAACGAGGAGCGCAAUGUGUUUUGUCCGUGGAAGUGCUUAAAACUAACAAACGAAUACGACACAUCCUGACCAGACAUCCACAGCAUGACGGUAAACCCAAGGAGGUCUUUCAUAACAGGGCAGAAUGCUUCAGGAAAUAGUGCUUUGACAGUGGAAGAGUAAGUCAGCUAGCAAGGCAUUGUUGUCAUUUUAAAACAGAUGAUGGCAUUUGAAGGGAACAGAACUAUCCUCAAAGCUUCAUACCAGACCUUGUAUAUAAUCAUCAUGAAAGCGUUGAGUGGCGGAGCAGUGAAGGUCAACCCAGUGAGUCAGUGACCAUGCAAGAUGUGUUAUUGACUCAAUGGAGAGAGACGGUGGCGUGGCAUCCACUCCCUGGUGUGGUUGUGCAGGACCAGGAUCAGGUUGGGAUGUGCUUACCUCAGUGGUGUCCCAGAAUAGAAUGGGCAAGAUAGCUCAACUCUGAUAGAGAGAAUGGGGAACUCCCUGACAGAGUGCAGACACACCUCUUUUCCCCCCUUCCCUUCCCUCUCUCUCUUUCUCGCUCCGUCUUUCUAACAAGCUCAAAUUUUCCCCAUGAAGAAGCUCACCAUCACCAAAACCUGCUUUGGACAGCAAACCUGAUUGACUCAGUGCCGCAGGGACCAGGUGCUCAAAAUGUAGGGUUGGAUUUUUUUAAUAACGUGUAUAUUUGUGCUCGUGUGUGCAUUUGGGUGUGAUAUUGUUGUGAUAUGCUUUUUUGAGAACACAUUUAUAGUCAUUUUGUUAUUUAUUCGGUACAAUAUUCAGACUCAUAUCAAUUCAUAUAUUCAGUUAAUUUCAUAUUUUCUGACCCAUAUUUUCACAUGUAUAUUCCUAUUGUAGGCCUACCUGUGGACUGCCACUUGAAAGAAAAACAAAUACAUAUAUACAGAAGAAUUGUCAUAGUACAGAAUUUAGUAAUAAUACAAAUAAUAUGUAAAGAGAAGAACGUAAAGAGGUGGCCUCCACCCAACCAACAUGUCUCCAGUUAUUCCUAUAUUUUAUGAAAAUAGGAAUUGUCAAAAAUCUGAAUAUCUUUGUCUUGUCUUAUGCUUCAACGAAUGACCCUAUCUGUAACAGAAUAAAAACAGCUUGGAAGAUCCAAUAAAUAUAUUAGAACAUUUGAAAAACAAUGUAAUUGUCUUU